rnacentral:rRNA from 1 species
AGUCCCUACGGGGGGCAGCAGUGAGGAAUAUUGGUCAAUGGGCGGAAGCCUGAACCAGCCAAGUCGCGUGAGGGAAUAAGGCCCUACGGGUCGUAAACCUCUUUUGCCGGGGAGCAAGGGCGGGGACGUGUCCCGGCCCGGAGAGUACCCGGAGAAAAAGCAUCGGCUAACUCCGUGCCAGCAGCCGCGGUAAUACGGAGGAUGCGAGCGUUAUCCGGAUUUAUUGGGUUUAAAGGGUGCGUAGGCGGGCUUGUAAGUAAGCGGAAAAAAUUAGGGGCUCAACCCCGUCCGGCCGUGG